UUGGUUCUUUCACCAGAAAUUACCCCAAAUUUCAGUCCAUGCUACAUUCUCUCGUUAUUAAUGCUUCUUUGAAGCCCAUCAUGCAGAAAAGUCCUGGAGAAAAAAGAGUUGUGUUUAGGAGAUGCAUUUACAUCUUUAUUCUUUAUGCCACUACAUGUCCUUAAAUGGAUGCACGUCUACUUUUGCUUGUCUUGGUUGUUUCCACGUGUGAAUGAGAACAUGAGAGUAAGGUGGUGAAAACAAUCCCAUUUUCCUUGUAAGGAUUUAACUUCCUGAACCCCUGUAACACCCUGCUAACUCAUGGGAACCCCUUGCCUUUCAGGAGCUCGUGCCUUUCCCUUCAUCUCCCUUUGUCCUCAGUGAAAUGCCACAGCUGCAAUGUGAACUCAGGUCCUCACACUCUGCCAAACCUCCAAAUCAGCCAACUGCUGCAAACAUCAUCUGCAAACGUGUGUUCACCUGCAGCUACCAGUGACCCACUGAGCCUAAGGAAAAGGAUAAUGCCAAUGUCUUCUGAGGUGAUUUGUAGUGACACAAGCCCAGCUAGCUUAUGAAGACCAAAUUCUAAUUAAUCCAUGGGAAAGGAAAUACCAAAAUGACGGUAAGUAUAAUGAUUUGGGGUUCUAACACUGGGUCAGUAAGAGGAAAAAAAUCACAUUGUACCUCACCUUCCUCCCCAGUAUUUCCUGAGUAACCAGCCUAUGGAUUAGGCAUGCUAAAUUUGCAUAUUUACACCUUUGGUUUUCUAUCACAAGUGUUGCCCUGUUAGCAGUAUUUAGGUACAUGUUCAUGUCUAGAAAACUCAAAUAUAUUCACUGGUAAACAGCUCAUAGAAAAUGCAAUAGAAUGUCUAGAGCAAAAGUUAUGGAAGUUACAACUAAUGUAUUUUAAAGACUGUCUCGAGAACAGCAAUUGAAAACACUAUUUAAAAAUUUGGUAAUAUUAUUAUUUUGUCAUUAUGUCUCUUUUUUUUUUGAAGAUGACAUAUGAAGAGUGGGAAUAUGUUCAUAGUAAAUUAAUGAUGGCUUUAUUUUACCAGUCAUGGUCCAAUUCCAGAUGAGUGCCACUGUGAGAAGAGUGGCUAAUUUGAUGUAGCAAAGGUCAGAAAACCCAGCAGACUGAAUCUAUACAAGGGUGACAUUCCUGAAUGUGACAGAAGAGCUUGCUACAUGUGAUAAAUAAAUUGGAAAGAGAUUGUUAUUAGUAUUAUGUUUAUCUCCUGCUAUCACAGAAUUUUAUUUUUUUCCUGUGAAAACUCAUUCUUGUUUACCUGAGUUUGCUGAAUCCUUGGAUGAAAAAAAGGAAUCAUGAGGAAACAAAUUACUUAUUUUCAGAAUAUGUCAAAAUUGAUCUGACAUGUUAAUGGUUUGCAUAGGGAAAGGAAGUGGUGAAAGCUUGUGGCAGGAGAAACAGAUGUGUGUGACAAAACUUUUUGGACAGGAAUUUUUGUGCACUGCUAAAACCAAGUGUUUUUUGAUGUUUCUAAGGCAGAAAAGAAUAAAGCUGCUGUAAGAAGGGUUGAGUUGACACAGGUUGCAGUGAUCACUCAGAGUUCAUAAUCUGCUUUUUUCUUUACGUUUUACAAAAUACCUUUGAGGGAUUAAGAAGCUGAUGAAUGCAAUGUGAAUCUGUGAAUACAGAUAAUGUGAAUGGCAACAGCAAAGUCUGGUACUCUGUUAAUUAGGGAACACCUGGAACUGAUCUUUGUGAAUUGUGAUGGAAAAUAGUGUUGUAGUGCAAAUUCUGGUUUGUAAUGCAGAUUUAUUUCUGUGUUAUACUUGCAUAUCCUGAUAAACUUUUCUAUUACGGUUUUUUAAUCAUUCCAAAUACUAAACCAAAGAGAUAAAGAAAAUAUUUUCAAUAAAGUUUCUACUGUAGUUACACUCUGCCAUUGUAUUGUUUGAAACCGAAUUCAAAAUAAAGUUUAGAUAU